rnacentral:misc_RNA from 1 species
GUGAAUCAUCGAAUUUUUGAACGCAAAUUGCACUCUCUUCGGAGAGUAUGCCUGUUUGAGUGUCAGCCUAUAAAAAUCGAUAUCGUUGCUGUUUCUCGGUGGUGUUCGUCGGAAAUUGGGUUAUCUUAAAUCCUUUUGCUUUCAGCGACUUAAAAUUUUCUUUUUGCUCUAUGAACGUUUCUAAGAUCUAUUUCUUUACACGUUUAAGGUAUCGAUUUUUACUAGCAGUUACCAUCAUAUUGGAUCGCGUCCAUAUUCUUUCAUUAACUGAC